AAUGUCAAUAGGCAGGCAAUGAUGUUUUCAGAAGAAAAACACACUGCCACGACUGUUUUUUAUUAAUUAAAAGUCAGACCCUGGAUUAAACACAAACAGUAUGCUUUGACAGGAAGUUUGGAGCUUUCACCGUAGCCUACACAACAUUAAGACCAUCUGAACGCAUGGAUGCAUCGGAGCAUGGCCCUUAAGAAGAGCGAGCUCAGUCUUCCAAGAAAACGCCUCAACUGUCGUGGUGUUCUUACUUCCAAACUUCCAACACAUCCAUCCGUACAUCAGACUGCAGUUUUCUCCUGAACGAAC
rnacentral:lncRNA from 1 species